rnacentral:rRNA from 1 species
GAUGAACGCUGGCGGCGUGCCUAAUACAUGCAAGUCGAGCGAACAGACGAGGAGCUUGCUCCUCUGACGUUAGCGGCGGACGGGUGAGUAACACGUGGAUAACCUACCUAUAAGACUGGGAUAACUUCGGGAAACCGGAGCUAAUACCGGAUAAUAUAUUGAACCGCAUGGUUCAAUAGUGAAAGACGGUUUUGCUGUCACUUAUAGAUGGAUCCGCGCCGCAUUAGCUAGUUGGUAAGGUAACGGCUUACCAAGGCAACGAUGCGUAGCCGACCUGAGAGGGUGAUCGGCCACACUGGAACUGAGACACGGUCCAGACUCCUACGGGAGGCAGCAGUAGGGAAUCUUCCGCAAUGGGCGAAAGCUUGACGGAGCAACGCCGCGUGAGUGAUGAAGGUCUUCGGAUCGUAAAACUCUGUUAUUAGGGAAGAACAAACGUGUAAGUAACUAUGCACGUCUUGACGGUACCUAAUCAGAAAGCCACGGCUAACUACGUG